UGGCUGUCGUCAGCUCGUGUUGUGAAAUGUUGGGUUAAGUCCCGCAACGAGCGCAACCCUUAUCCUUUGUUGCCAGCGGUCCGGCCGGGAACUCAAAGGAGACUGCCAGUGAUAAACUGGAGGAAGGUGGGGAUGACGUCAAGUCAUCAUGGCCCUUACGACCAGGGCUACACACGUGCUACAAUGGCGCAUACAAAGAGAAGCGACCUCGCGAGAGCAAGCGGACCUCAUAAAGUGCGUCGUAGUCCGGAUUGGAGUCUGCAACUCGACUCCAUGAAGUCGGAAUCGCUAGUAAUCGUGGAUCAGAAUGCCACGGUGAAUACGUUCCCGGGCCUUGUACACACCGCCCGUCACACCAUGGGAGUG
rnacentral:rRNA from 1 species